rfam:Hordeum vulgare subsp. vulgare, WGS project CAJW01000000 data, contig: morex_contig_66297
UAUCUACUCCCUCCCUUUCAAAAUUCUUGUCUUGGAUUUGUCUAGAAAUGAAUGUAUCAAAAUACUAAAACGUGACUAGAUACAUUCAUAUGUAGACAAAUCUAAGACAAGAAUUAUGGGACGGAAGGAGUAUGAG